CUUUCCCAGGCGGCUGCCGAAGAUGGAGAAGGGGCAGGUUCUGGUAUUGGAUGGCCGAGGCCAUCUUCUUGGCCGCCUGGCGGCCAUUGUGGCCAAGCAGGUACUUCUGGGCCGUUAGGUGGUGGUGGUCGUACGCUGUGAAGGCAUCAACAUUUCUGGAAACUUCUACAGAAACAAGUUAAAGUAUCUGGCCUUUCUCCGGAAGCGGAUGAAUACCAACCCUCCCGAGGCCCCUACCACUUCCGAGCCCCCAGCCACAUUUUCUGGCGCACUGUGCGAGGCAUGCUGCCCCACAAGACCAAGAGAGGCCAGGCUACCCUGGAGCGCCUCAAGGUGUUGGAUGGGAUCCCUCCACCCUAUGACAAGAAAAAGUGGAUGGUGGUCCCUGCUGCCCUCAAGGUUGUUCGGCUGAAGCCUACCAGAAAGUUUGCUUACCUGGGGCGUCUGGCUCAUGAGGUCGGGUGGAAGUACCAGGCAGUGACAGCCACUCUGGAGGAGAAACGGAAGGAAAAGGCCAAGAUGCACUAUCGGAAGAAGAAGCAGAUCUUGAGGUUACAGAAACAGGCAGAAAA